rnacentral:rRNA from 1 species
AUUGAACGCUGGCGGCAGGCCUAACACAUGCAAGUCGAACGGUAACAUUUCUAGCUUGCUAGAAGAUGACGAGUGGCGGACGGGUGAGUAAUGCUUGGGAACUUGCCUUUAGGAGGGGGAUAACAGUUGGAAACGACUGCUAAUACCGCAUAAUGUCUACGGACCAAAGGGGGCUUCGGCUCUCACCUAAAGAGAGGCCCAAGUGAGAUUAGCUAGUUGGUAAGGUAAAAGCUUACCAAGGCGACGAUCUCUAGCUGUUCUGAGAGGAAGAUCAGCCACACUGGGACUGAGACACGGCCCAGACUCCUACGGGAGGCAGCAGUGGGGAAUAUUGCACAAUGGGGGAAACCCUGAUGCAGCCAUGCCGCGUGUGUGAAGAAGGCCUUCGGGUUGUAAAGCACUUUCAGUUGUGAGGAAAGGUUGGUAGUUAAUACCUGCCAGCUGUGACGUUAACAACAGAAGAAGCACCGGCUAACUCCGUGCCAGCAGCCGCGGUAAUACGGAGGGUGCGAGCGUUAAUCGGAAUUACUGGGCGUAAAGCGCACGCAGGCGGUUUGUUAAGCUAGAUGUGAAAGCCCCGGGCUCAACCUGGGAUGGUCAUUUAGAACUGGCAGACUAGAGUCUUGGAGAGGGGAGUGGAAUUCCAGGUGUAGCGGUGAAAUGCGUAGAUAUCUGGAGGAACAUCAGUGGCGAAGGCGGCUCCCUGGCCAAAGACUGACGCUCAUGUGCGAAAGUGUGGGUAGCGAACAGGAUUAGAUACCCUGGUAGUCCACACCGUAAACGCUGUCUACUAGCUGUUUGUGAAUUUAAUUCGUGAGUAGCGAAGCUA